rnacentral:lncRNA from 10 species
CUGAAGACGGAAAGAGAGGCCGUCCGCGUACUGCGUAGCAGUUACAUCAGACUGAGACACUUCCUGUUUACAGGAGACUUUAUAAACCCCUGCCGCAUACUCAUUUGGUGCUGACGCCAUUGUAGACCUCAGCCCGUCUGUACCCAGGCGCUCAUUAGAACAGCGUGUUGCUCCACACCGCCUUGUGGUGUUUGUUACCGCGCUCUUGGGGUUCGAACCGAUACAGCAGGCUUGCAGCUAUUUCAUUGGUUUAAACUUUUAUUUUUUUAUUGCAAAUGAAAAUUACUAUCAACUAUCAUUACAAAGCUGUAGAAUAUGAAGUUCGAAGGAAAACGCUGAAUCAGUAUACAAAAGCGUCUCAAUCAGACUCAUCCAUUUUGAAGCAAUUCCUCUGCCAUUUUGCCACCUCCUCUCAAAUUCAGCGACUUACCAGAAAGCCUGUGUGGAUGAAUAUUGCUUCCAGGAGUCACAUAAUUACAUCUAAAAUCAUAGAAUGUUAGAGCUGGAGGAAUCUUUAGAGUUUGCCCAAGGUCCUUCACCAGCAUUUUACAGAAGAUUCUUCGAUUUAACUGCUCUUAAUUACAUCCCGUUGCACUGGCCCCAUCAAGUUGCUUUAAACAGCCCUUCUAGUCAACAGAGCUGCAGAGAAAAACCUUGGUUGGUUCAGGUCACUAGGAUGCAGGACCAUGGGCAGCCAGCUAGCAGCAGUGUGAUCUGACAGCCCCUUUCUUCAGCUGAAACAAGUAUCUUUCACUUCUGCCAUGGGCCCUCUCUCACAUCCACACAGUGAGAUGAUUAUAAAAACAUUCCCAGCACCAACACACAUGAAUCCUGGAUGCUCUAGGGAGUUGCUGCUCCAUGGGCCAACACUUGAACAUGGGAGAUGGAAGCUAGUGGAUAAAUACCCUUUUCUUCUUUCAGAUGGGCAAUUGUAAGCUGUAUUAUACCCAGUUGCUUAGAGGAACACUGUAGGGACAGGCAAUGGAACUACUGAGCCCAGUGGAGAUUAACUUAAGAAUGUUCCUAUUAAUUGACUUCUCUGUUAUCCUUGACUCAUUUUCCCCAGUUCUCCACUCCUCAUAUCUGAAGUUGCUUCCAAAAAUGAGCUGCCCACACACAGCCCUUGCCCCAGGCUUUGCUCUCUGAGAAACUUAGGCUGAGAACUUGUUCUUUAAGAUAUUCAUCAAAUAGUUUCCCCUUGAGUGGUGGAUUUGGAUUACUACAGAUUUCUCAGACUCUCUCAGUCUUGGUUGCAAGUAAUAAUAAU